rnacentral:rRNA from 1 species
UACGGGGGGAGCAAGCGUUGUUCGGAUUUACUGGGCGUAAAGCGUGCGCAGGCGGCCAUCCAAGUCAGUGGUGAAAGCCCGGGGCUCAACUCCGGAAUUGCCUUUAAGACUGCAUCGCUAGAAUUGUGGAGAGGUGAGUGGAAUUCCGAGUGUAGAGGUGAAAUUCGUAGAUAUUCGGAAGAACACCAGUGGCGAAGGCGACUCACUGGACACAUAUUGACGCUGAGGUGCGAAAGCGUGGGGAGCAAACAGG